AUUAUAAUACUCGGAGUCUAAAGGGCUUGCCAAAAGGAAUUGGAAGAUUAAGCUCUCUUCAGACACUGGAUGUUUUCAUCGUGAGUAGUCAUGGCAAUGAUGAAUGCCAAAUAGGAGACCUGAGAAACUUGAACAACCUAAGAGGAGGUCUUUCCAUUAAAAGGUUGGAUGAAGUGAAAGAUGCAGGGGAGGCAGAAAAAGCAGAAUUGAAGAAUAAGGUACACCUCCAACGUUUGGAAUUGAAAUUUGGUGGAGAGGAGGGGACCAAGGGUGUGGCUGAAGCUCUACAACCCCAUCCAAACUUGAAAUCUCUACGUAUAUUCGAUUAUAGUGAUAGAAAGUGGCCCAAUUGGAUGAUGGGUUCAUCAUUAGCUCAACUGAAAAUACUUUACCUUGACUCUUGCUUAAGAAGUCCAUGUUUGCCUCCUUUGGGGCCACUGCCUGUCCUUGAGAAGCUGGAUAUAUGCUUUAUGUAUGGUGUGCAAUACAUAGGUAGUGAGUUUUUGGGAUCAUCAUCAACAGUAUUCCCAAAGCUGAAGGAAUUGACUAUUUAUGGUUUGGAUGAAUUGAAGCAAUGGGAAAUAAAAGAAAAAGAAGAGAGGUCAAUAAUGCCAUGUCUCAAUGACUUGACUAUGCAAGAUUGCCCAAAGCUGGAGGGACUGCCGGACCACGUGCUCCAGAGGACACCAUUGCAGAAAUUGUACAUCGCAGGUUCUCCUAUUCUGGAACGACGCUAUCGAAAGGAUAUCGGAGAGGAUCGACACAAAAUAUCUCAUAUCCCACAAGUCGAAUAUUCACGGGACUGAAUGGUCAUCACGCUUCACCUCAUGUCGCUCUUGUUACAGAGAAGCAAGUUCAAAUAAAGAGGAGAAAAUUCUCAACACCUAUGUAUUGUGAAGUUGUCUAUGAAUCAAUUUCAAAUUGGUGACUUGUAAAUUCUUUUUCUCUUUUUCUUUUCCCCUUUUAUUUGUUUGCCUAUAUAUGUAAGAAUGUGUAAACUUCAACGUUAUUGUUUGGAUUUAUUUCCUAUAACAUAAAUGGUUUGCGAAUGAUGGGAACUUGCGUGCAUGCAUGCAUGAUGUUUCUUC